rnacentral:rRNA from 1 species
CUUUCAACAACGGAUCUCUUGGUUCCAGCAUCGAUGAAGAACGCAGCGAAAUGCGAUAAGUAAUGUGAAUUGCAGAAUUCAGUGAAUCAUCGAAUCUUUGAACGCACAUUGCGCCCCCCGGUAUUCCGGGGGGCAUGCCU